rnacentral:lncRNA from 1 species
AAACUCCUUUCUGUUCUUUGUGUCAUUAGUGUAAGAUCAAGCUCACAUGUGUCCAGCUCUGUGUCUGUGAAGAGUGAGCGUUCAAAAGGGGACAUGCCAAACUUCAGUGAGAAAAAAACAUCAACCAAAAGUGUAAGAUCAGGUUCACAUGUGUCCAGCUUUGUGUCUGUGAAGAGUGAGCGUUCAAAAGGGGACAUGCCAAACUUCAGUGAGAAAAAACCAUCAACUACAAAAAGGUAUUUCAUGUGCUGUACAUUAUAGCGUUGCAUUGUUUCUCUGCUGUGUUUUUUGUGAGAGAACCAGACUGUAAGAAAUUAUAGUGUGCCUCGACCCAGC